UACGAAGGGGGCUAGCGUUGUUCGGAAUUACUGGGCGUAAAGCGCACGUAGGCGGCUUUGUAAGUCAGGGGUGAAAUCCCGGGGCUCAACCUCGGAACUGCCUUUGAUACUGCAAGUCUUGAGUCCGAUAGAGGUGAGUGGAAUUCCUAGUGUAGAGGUGAAAUUCGUAGAUAUUAGGAAGAACACCAGUGGCGAAGGCGGCUCACUGGAUCGGUACUGACGCUGAGGUGCGAAAGCGUGGGGAGCAAACAGG
rnacentral:rRNA from 1 species